CAAAGAAACUAAAGCUAAAAUGUGGGUCUGUUAGUAAACAUGUUUUUUUGCUUUAAAAGAUUUACUGUGAAUAAACAUUUCUAGAAAUUAUAAAACGUUUUCAUAAAUUUGCCAAUAAAAAAAAUGCUGGUAUAAUAAAUAGUUCACAAUUGCUUACUACUUAGAUUUCAUUAGACAUUAAAGUUUCUACUGGCUAAAAAUUCCAAAGAAUAUUUAUGGUUAAAGCCACUAGAAAUAAGGAAAACUCUCCAUAUGUAAGUAGGAUGUAUGUUUUCAGUAGAAGAAAGUAUGGGAAAUACAUUUUUCUUGAGGGAAAAGAAAGUAAUUUUGUCUUAGAGGUUAGAAAAGAGGGAAAACAUGGGACAAAAUCUAGGUGUAAAAAAGGAAGUUGUAAAAGAUUUCUAGAAAAGGAAUCUUUGCAAAGGAAUUUUAUGAGUGGUCAGGCUGGCUAAGAUUGGAAUAAAUUUAAGUAAAUGAGUUUUAAUAUUCAAAAGUACACUGGUGCAAAGUGAAAAUUGGGUUUACUCUUUGUUAAAAGAACAGUUUUCUUAAAUUAUUGGGUUCCUCUUGAUAAAGGAUUGUAAACAGGUUUUUUGUUUUGUUUUUUACCUUUUUAAAUUAUCUGCCUAGAAAACAAAGACUAUGUUUUAACAAAAUAAUUUCUCAUGCUUCAUGGUAUCCUUACCAUCAGGUCUUUGAUUACUUAAGAAAACUGAGUCAUCUUAAUAUUAAAAGAUCUAAGUUUUGCUCACAAUUAGGUAAACUUCUGCACUUGCCUUUGAAAUCUUUUAUUGUCGUUUUGGUUAAAUAAAUAAUGUUUCAUAAUGUUCUGUGAUCAGAUUUAAUCAAGUGUUCAAAUUUGGAUAUUUUUUAAUAGACUUUCCAAAAUCAAAUUCUAAAAUGAAGUCUUUUGACAACAAACUAACUUUGAGGUUUUAUAAAGGGUCCCUGGAACAAUUAAAAGGAUUUGUUCUCCUCAUUUAAAAAAGAGAUAUUAAACUAAUUAGGUCUAUUGGGUAUGUUAAAUCACAUGGGAAGCAUUGUCAAAUAAGUGAUGCUAAACCUUCUUUGAUUAUAUUUGUGUAAAUAUAUGUUGUUGAAAUAAGUGUUCUAGAAAGUAUAUCAAACUCCUAAGAAUCUGGUAUGUCCUGAUACGUUAUUUCUUAUAAUUUUAAUUAUCUAAUUAUCUUCUUUUUGUGUGACAGAAAUAACCAAAUUUCCUGGUCAAUUGCACUGUAAUGAACUUGAAUCAGAUCCUUAACCAUGGCCAUUACUAAGUCUUGUAUCAUUUACAGACAGUUAUAUUUUAUUUGGAUGCUUUUGCAAAGAUGUUCCUGAAGAAAUGUUUCAUCUUCAAGGAGAUUCAUGAAAAAGACAAAAAUAUAGGUGUCUCAUAAUUUAAAUAUCACAAAACUGAAGUUGGUAAAAACUUCCAGAAUUAAUGGGAAAAACAGGAUGAAGCAAAACAAGAAUUACUUGGGACAAAAUAAAUUGAAGAGAAUGAUUAAGAUUUUUAUGACUUUUUGUUUGAAACAUUACUAAGUUUUAAAAAAAAAUUUUUCCAGAUUUAAGGAAAAAAUUUUUAAACUGCUAUACAGUAGCUUGGUAAAUUACACCUUUGUAAGCAGAACUGAAACAUUUAUCUUUUUCUCCCAACCUGAUCCCUCAGAAUUCAACUCAGAAACAGUAUCCUUAUAUUUUCAUGACAAUAUAUGUAUUGCAUACAUUCAGUAAGAAUCUGCUUUUCUUGCAACAGGAUACAAUUAGAUACACUGGUUAUAUUAACAAGGCUUUGACAGGAAUGUCAUAUUUGAGAGAAACAUGCAUGGACUCAGAUAUGACCAGACAGCUUUAAGGAACUAAGGUUGGCUUUUUUGGAGCCAAAUAAAGCCCCUGGGAAAACAGCCUGACACCCUGCUUUACAGGGUUCCCAGAAGCCUUACCAGGUAAGUAAAGGCCAUUUCCUGGCAGGGGCAAGAACCCAAGGAUAUUUUGAGGACCAUGAAAAGAGGGAGUAACACGAAUCUUUAGGUAUUGCAGAUAAAGACUGACAGCUGUGUUUCUUAGUCUUGAGAGACUGUUGACAUUUCUCUAUGAAAAGUUCCAGCAAAAAUUUUAAGAAGUGUUUAUGACCAAAUGCUGUUCUUGCUGCAAAUAAUCAGAUCAAGUUUACUAAAACUAAACUUAUUUUAUAAAUAAGACUUUAUCUGGCUAAUUUUGAAAAUAGGGUGACUUCAGAGAGAAAAAUUAUGUCUCAGUAACACAGCUUUGUAGGUAUUAGAUCAUGGUUCUUUUGUCUUUGAGGUUUUGUUUCCUACCUGUAAACUGGACUAGAUCCCAGAUUCUAGUUUCCUCCAUAGCAUGGCUACAACUCUCCAAAAUAACAUUUCUAAUUUUCUCCCAUCCUUUUGACUUGGAAUCAUUGAGAACCAAAACUUCCCUUUUUCCUGAAGCUCUGCAAACCGAAUAUGAAUGACUUUAUAUAAACUUCAAGAAAAUCACCACAGCAGCCCAUAUAUAAUUUUCAUGCCUGCUGCUCUAUGGGCCACUCCAAAAGAUCACCAGAGACAUUCACACUACAAACCAGGAAACUCUGUCAGAUUGUCACUGCCUGCUCUCCAUCUGAAGAUGCUUUGAGCCUGCUAUCUAUGCAGGUGUUUCUCCACAGGCCUGGAGGUCCAUGGCUGCCCAAAGCUGGCAAACUAGGUAGAGCUAGAGAAAUCUGAACUGCUUGACCAUGGCUGGAUUGGGCAGGCUGGCCCAGGUGUCCCCCAAAAAGAGACAGCUGGGAACCUCAAUUGCUGCAGAAACCCAAGAUCACCCAAAAUAGUAGAGAAAAAAUGGUCUACCCCAUCAGUUGGCGUAGGGGCGGGAUAAAUUUCCCAGACUGGAUACUGUUUGCUUUGAGGCUGCUGCAGCUGAGAGAUGCCAACACACUGAUCAACAGCUGGCAGAAGUUAUAGAUUUCAUUGUGUCUUUGAAGUGUAAACACAGCCCACAAUCUCUUGAAAAUGAAAAAGAAAAAAAUGGAAGGAAAGAGGCCUUGUUAAAAAUAGAAAGUGCAAUUAGUACUCUUGCCCAAACUAUAGAUCACAGCUUCUAGAAGAUUACUUCCAGGGACAAAUACCAGUCCUAAAAGACCUCUCCAAAAAUAGCAAAUUACUUGAAUCAUCUGAGUAAAUUAAUAUUCCCCCUACGAUUCAAAAACUGUGAACUUACAGGCUCUGGUUUAAGAUUGUGAUGUAAGAUCCUGAACUCACCUCCUCCGCAGACACACCAAAUAUACACCUAUUGCUAGAGUAAUUCCCUCUGAAGAACUGAGGGCUGAGAAGCUCCUGCACAAUCAAAGACUGAGAGAAGGGCAGGAAAGAUGGAGACACUGGAAGAAAGGAACUCUCACUUUGAUGCUAUAGAUUGCAGCAAGGAGGAACAGUACCCAAGGGAUUAUGAACAGAUC